AGAGUUUGAUCCUGGCUCAGAACGAACGCUGGCGGCGCGCUUAACACAUGCAAGUCGAACGGUAACAGGCCGCAAGGUGCUGACGAGUGGCGAACGGGUGAGUAAUGCAUCGGAACGUGCCCAGUCGUGGGGGAUAACUGCUUGAAAGAGCAGCUAAUACCGCAUACGACCUGAGGGUGAAAGCGGGGGACCGUAAGGCCUCGCGCGAUUGGAGCGGCCGAUGUCAGAUUAGCUAGUUGGUGGGGUAAAGGCCUACCAAGGCAAUGAUCGGUAGCUGGUCUGAGAGGAUGAUCAGCCACACUGGAACUGAGACACGGUCCAGACUCCUACGGGAGGCAGCAGUGAGGAAUAUUGCUCAAUGGACGAAAGUCUGAAGCAGCGACGCCGCGUGAGGGAUGAAAUCCGUUAGGAUGUAAACCUCUUUUGUGGGUGAAGAAUAUAGCGCUAUAGGCGCUAUUGACGGUAGCCCGCGAAUAAGCAUCGGCUAACUACGUGCCAGCAGCCGCGGUAAUACGUAGGAUGCAAGCGUUGUCCGGAAUCACUGGGUGUAAAGGGUCCGCAGGUGGAUUUGUAAGUCUGUGGUGAAAUCUUACGGCUCAACCGUAAAACUGCCACAGAUACUGCUUUUCUAGAGUGUGAAAGAGGAAGAUGGAAUUCAUGGUGUAGCAGUGAAAUGCGUAGAUAUCAUGAAGAACACCGGUAGCGAAGGCGGUCUUCUGGUUCACUACUGACGCUCAUGGACGAAAGCGUGGGGAUCAAACAGGAUUAGAUACCCUGGUAGUCC
rnacentral:rRNA from 1 species